rnacentral:rRNA from 1 species
CAGCCGCCGCGGUAAAACGAAGGGUGCAAGCGUUAAUCGGAAUUACUGGGCGUAAGGCGUGCGUAGGCGGUUUGUUAAGUCUGUUGUGAAAUCCCCGGGCUCAACCUGGGAAUGGCAAUGGAUACUGGCAAGCUAGAGUGUGUCAGAGGAUGGUGGAAUUCCCGGUGUAGCGGUGAAAUGCGUAGAGAUCGGGAGGAACAUCAGUGGCGAAGGCGGCCAUCUGGGACAACACUGACGCUGAGGCACGAAAGCGUGGGGAGCAAACAGGAUUAGAUACCCGCGUAGUCCCUGUCUCUUAUAC